rnacentral:rRNA from 1 species
UACGGGGGGGGCAAGCGUUGUUCGGAAUUACUGGGCGUAAAGGGCUCGUAGGUGGCCAACUAAGUCAGACGUGAAAUCCCUCAGCUUAACUGGGGAACUGCGUCUGAUACUGGAUGGCUUGAGUUUGGGAGAGGGAUGCGGAAUUCCAGGUGUAGCGGUGAAAUGCGUAGAUAUCAGGAGGAACACCAAUAGCGAAGGCAGCUCGCUGGGACGGUACUGACGCUGAGGAGCGAAAGCCAGGGGAGCAAACGGG